UGGGGAAUAAGCAAGGCGGGUGGAGCCGGGAUGGAGUAGGAGGAGAGCGCAAGGAAAGACGUUAGGCGCGGCUGGCUAGAGCUUUGCGUGUCACGCGGGAGUGGGAUUUGCCGAAGGGUGCUGCCCUGCUUGAGAGUACACCUACUAUCAGAGCCUGGCAGCUUGUACUUGGACGUGCGAAGGGGCGGGGCGGACAAGGCACGCAGGUAUAAAGAAGGCGAAGGUAAGAGGCUGCGAGGGGUAGCGUGUCGGAGUCCGAACCGGGCUACAUCGGACGCGCCCAAUGCAGGUAGGGGGAGGACCCAGUGCCCCGCGGGCGGACGGGGCGGUCACCCACCUGCGGCUGCGGCCACGGUGUCAAGUACUGCAACCGCCUGAAGCGCCAGAGCUCCCCGUGAGAGGAAGGAGGCCAAGAGAGAGAGAGAGAGCUAGUCGGACCUUUGAAGUGCUGCGGGGGCAGCGGGCGGCAGCGGGCGGCGGCAGGGGCGGCAGCAAGGGCGGCGGCGGCGGCGGCGGCGGCGGCGGCGGGACGUGGGCGUAGUACUGGUGAAAGUGAUUGACAUUGGGUUGAUGGGGAAAUGGCUAGACUCGGGGUGUGUUAGGUAUGGCAUGCAUGAAGCGGUGAAGGGGUACGUGAGACGUGAGCGUGCGGGUGGUGUAAUCGACAAGACUGUGAGGCUCCCAGGUUGCACCGCGACACGGUAUAUUUGAGUAGAGAGCGGCCCCGGCCGCCCAGCUCAAGUCGUGUCGAGAGCGUAGCUGUGCACGCCAGCUGCAUCGAAGCAUGCGGACAUGCAUGCGGCUUGGACGGAUGGGUGUGAGUGAAGUUGAGGAGCGGUGCGCACACGAGCGUCGGCGGGAGGGCGGGGGGGGGGGGGGGUAGGUCACCGCGGAAUGGGACGAGGCGCUGCCGCCCGCAGCGCCCCGUGGGCCCAAACGCGCCGGCAGAUUUGCCUUCACGUCUAUCUGUUGCCACAUAAGGCUCUCCCCUAUAUGAAAGCUUACAAGCCACAUUAACUCAAACUAACAAGCUCCCUUUCGACCAAUAAAUCCACGACGCAACACUGCCGCUAGACAGUCACAGCGUGCAGGUGCCACCGCGGUUUUGAAGCUCACGCAAUGGAGGGCAGCAAAGGAGGCCAAGGCGCCGGGAGCAGCCGCGGCGAGGACGCAGGAGGCGCCGGGCGGGCUCAGGUAAGGACGCGAACCCUACCUGAGCCCGCCCGGCGCCUCCUGCGUCCUCGCCGCGGCCGCUCCCGGCGCCUUGGCGUCCUUUACUGCCCUCCAUUGCGUGAGCUUCAAAACCGCGGUGGCACCUGCACGCUGUGACUGUCUAGCGGCAGGAAAGGGGAGCUUAACUGCGAAGUGAGAGUGCACCGUCCUUAACUGGAUUGGCUUAAUUAGUUAUUGCUGCAAAGUGGGAGUGGCUUGUAAGCUGUUUUUUAGGGGAGAGCCUGACGCAGCACGAGCGUGAAGGCCUUCAGAAUGUGCCGGCGCGUUUGGGCCUGCGGGGCGCUGUCGGCGGCACCGCCUCGUCCCAUUCCGCGGUGACCCACGUCAUUCGCGUGUCGCCACCCGCUUCCCGCUCCCCCCCCCCCCGCCCUCCCGCAGACGCUCGUGUGCGCGCCGCUCCUCAACUUCAUUCACACACAUCCGAGCCUCGCUCAUGCAUGCCCGCAUGCUUCGAUGCAGCUGGCGUGCACAGCCACAUUCUCGACACGACUUCACGCACUUGGCUGGUCACCUUCCUGCAGGUGCGAUGCGGCUCUGCCUCGCGAGUGUGGCGUUGCGGUGUGUCUGUGUGGUGCUAUCGCCUGGCCGGGCGCCCGGAGCGUGAGGAAUGCGCGUCAGCAAACUUCCAGCCAGCCAGCAACUCGUCGGUACAGUAACUCCGGCGUUAGACCAGCCGCGCACUCUUGCCCUGCCUCAGCCAAUUGUUUGCCAUUUGUCGGGUAUGGGAAUUAGCUGCGCCCUAAGGGACUUUACCAACCUGCCUUGCCACUGUCCCAUCACACAUUCACGCACUUGGCUCGGCGCUCCAUACAGUAACUCCUGCGUUCGACCAGCCGCCGCGCACUCCUGCAUGCCCUGCCGUCGCAAAUUGUUUGCCAUCUGCUGGGGUCUGGGAACCAUACGGGACUCCACCAACCUGCCUUAACACUGUCCCAUCGCAUAUCCAUCCAGCAAACGGCCUCAACGUAACCAAAACACAUGUAUGCUGGGCUGGGCACAUAUCGGUCCUUCCGGCCAUAUCGUCACAAUAACUCGAGGGCAGCCGUGGAGUUGUCCCAUCCACACGCGCCCCAAUGUGCGAUGCAGCGCCUUCAGGCCUAUGCCAUAGCAACCCUUGCUUGCUUGCAACAUGUGUGUGCCAACGCGUCACUACCAUACAUUCCGCUAGCUGUAGUCCGCACCCACACUCACAUGGCCAGGCCCUCACAGCCUCCGGGGUGCAAGCACGGAGUGCAAGCGCACCAAAGAGCUAAGAGUGCCGCCGUCUGAUACAACAGCAUGCGUUGCUUGGAAUGCCCAGACAAUGUAAACAUGCAUGGCCCCUGGCGGCGGGCACUAGGGGCACCUGCUGUCAAACCGGCUGCUGGCCAUUGCAACUAACAGCAGCAGCUGAAAGGCCUUCCCAGGGGCCUUACCCGCCGCUGACUUCCCCACUGCCCGGCGCCGCGGGUGACUUGGCGGCUGAGGUGGGGGACGCGCACCGGCAGCUGGCGGCGGUGGUUCAACAGGUGGCGGCGGCGCACGUGCGCGACGCGCCGCCGCCACCCGCCGCCACCGCCGCAAUGCAGCAGCUGCAGGAGCAACUGGCGGACCUACAGCGGCGGCUGGCGGCGGCGGCCGCCGCCGCCGCCCCUGCUACAGCCGCCGCCUCAGCAUCACCGCCGCAGCCGGCUACAGCCAAGCCCGUGCCCCCAGUGGCGGCACCGUCAGCAGGGGCCGACCUCGUCACUCCUCUAGCCAAGCCAGGCAGUAGCAACGCCGGGGGCAGCGGCAGUAGCAGUGGCAGUCGUGGCAGUGGCAGCGCGGAUGGCAAGGAGGGCGCACGGCGGUCGUGGGGUGCGUGGAAGACGAAUCGUCGCAUUCAGGAGGCUGAGGCGACUUUGAUAAAGACCGCCGCCAAGACGCCCAGCUUCAUGGCCGCCGCCCCGGCCGUUUCAGCUUCCUCUUCAUCGUCCGCCACCGGCGGCAGCAGCGGCAGCAGCAGCAGCGGCGGCGCCUCGACCCGCGCAGCUACAGCCGCGCCGCCAAGCGGCGCCAGCAGCAGUGGGGGCAGUAGCGCCAGCCGGGCUGGGGGCGGGUCGGGAGGCAGGGGCGGCGGCGCGGAGGACGGGGAGGGCGUGACGGUGGUCAGCCGGCGAGUGGGCACCAAUCAACCGCCCCGCAAAGGUUAGUGCUGUCCGCGUUUUGCACGCACGUGACUGAAAUACGGCAUACUGAUCAUCUGUUCGGCGUGGAAUCGUGGAAUUAUUUGUUUCGUGUUACCCAACCCCGGCUAUCCAGUGUCUGCAUUGACAGCGGGUUAAUCACAGGCCCUCUCAGUCUCAAAUCUCCCGGUGUCGCAUCAUCGCUGUGUCGCCACGUGCUACAGCCACCUUAGCACCUCAGUUGAGCUGUGCUUCAUCUUCCGCCCGCCAUCCACAACAUCAUCCGCCCCAAACACACACGUGACUUGGUCCGUCAUCGCGACACGACGUGCCGCCCAUGCAGGUUGUUGAGACCCCCGAGGCCCGGCAGGAGCGAGUCAAGGUGCGUGCGUGCGUGCGUGUGUGUGCGUGUGUGUGUAUGUGUGUGCGUGUGUGCGCGCGCGCGUGUGUGCGUGUGUGUUAGUGAGCACAAGGAAAACAAUGUGCGCAUGCAUGCCUGUGUGUUCGUAUAUGCGCGUGUGUCUACAUUCCAGCCGUAGCCAUGGGAGGCCGCUGCCAAUGAGCGCAGAAUGGGAGGUGUGUUUGUGCAUGCAUGCGUGCAUGUGAGCGGCAUUCCAUACGGCACCCUGCAUCACCCUUACACACAUCCACCCACUCAUGCCCGCCCCCAAUACUCCCACCACACAUUCCUCCAGGAGGCACUGCGCGUGUUCUCUGAGACUGGGGGCGCCAUCGGCGACGACGGCGACGACGGGGACCCCGGAGGGGAGGACCCCGACCCGCUGGGGGAGCUGCUGCCGGGUUACACGGACGGUGGGUGCCGCGGUUAUGUGUGUGGGGUGGGUGGAGUGGGGCGGGGUUGUAAUACCAGCCCAAACUAAACUAACCAACUAAAGCGAGGGGGUGUUGUGCGGUUCGUCUGCGUAUGGGGUUGUGUGGGUUCGUGGCGUUGCGUGCGCGGUGCUUGCUGUGGCCGUGUGCACACCCGUGCUUGGAACCCAAGAGGAAGAGGCCGACACAUCAAACACGCGUGUGUGCCCUCCCUCUCUCCCGCUUGACACAUCCUCCCCGACUCUUCCUGUUUCACAUUCCUCCCCUCUCCUCUUCCCCCUGCUCCCUCCCCCUCUGUCCCCUCCCCCUCUCAUCCCCCCAGCCUCCUCCUCCUCCCCCGCCUCCCGCGCCAAGCCCUGGUGGGCCACCCGCUACCAGGCUCUGUACCUGCCCAACAUCGGCUACCCGGACGGCUCCAUAGGCUUCCUGCAGGUAUGCGUGCGUGUGUGCUUUUGGGGGGGGCGUGUGUGUGUUUAUUAAACGCGAAACAAGGAGUUAAUUACCAAUACCCAUUUCAUCAAGCGGCCCGUUGUGACCCAAAACGUGUGUGUGUGUAUUUGUGUGUGCGUUUGUUUGUUGGUGUGUGUGUGUAUGUGUGUUUGUGUGUGCGUUUGUUUGUGUGUGUGUGUGUGUGUGUGUGUGUGUGUGUGUGUGCGUGCGUGUGCGUGUGCAAAUUUGCUCCAAUCCCCAGUAGACCAAGGCCCAGAGUGGUGGAUAUGGCCGAGCGGUCCGGGGUUGGUGUCACCGAUUCCACUAAGAAACCAGAGAGACGAGGACGCAUUGGGGGGAGGGGGCAGCCGGGGGGAGGGGGGAGUGGCUGUCCAUGCAGCCCGGAGUGGUUGACGAGGGCGCGUGUGGAAAACGGGGCGCUGCAAGCGAGGGGUCCAAGUUUCCAUCCCACAGGUGCAGACCACGUCCCGCUCCUCUACCGCCCUGAGUGUCCUACUUCCUACCGUCUACCACUUCCUUAACUAAUCAUGAAUGUUAUCCCCCCCCCCCGCUCCCCCUAGGUCAACGUGUCGCUGAGCCCUGACCGCCGUGACAUGCGCGUGCUGGCCUUCGCCGACCGCGCAGACGCCACCGCCGCCAUCAGCCUGCUGGCGGCCUGGCCGCAGUACGCAGGCACCGACCCGCGGGUGGGUGCGGCAGGGUUGGAGGAGGAUAGCGCAAGGUGGGGUGGGACGGGGGGGAAGCGGAACACCACUUGCCAAUGCGUAGGUAGGGACAGGAGGUGGAGGGGCACUCGAAACCAGUUGGGAUGCUUGGCUUGUGGUGCUUGGGUGCUGUCCAUCCGCCUGUGGCAUGUGCGCCCCCGCUGGGCCGCUACCCCCGCCUCCCUUUCGUCUGUCUUUGCACGCUCCCUCCGGCCUACGCACGGUCCUUCACACGUGGAGGCCCUCCCACGGGACCAUGUCGCUGAUGGGAUGUCGACGCUCUCCUUUCGUGCUUUACUGCAACAUCCCCCCCUCUCCCUCCCUCUCCCCCUGUGCAGCUGAGCAUCAUGCCCACAGCCACCAUCAUGCAGCAGCUCAAAGACAUGUACGACGAACAGGUGGGUGGGUGCGAGGGGUGUGUGCAUGUACGUGUGGAACGAGAUGCCUCGUACGACACAUGUAUGGUGUGUGUGUGUGUGUGUGUGUCAUGCAUGACCGACACAGCGGCUUCGCGUGUGCCCCUCGUGUGCGCGCGCGUCUCUGCUAUCUGACGAUGGGGCUAUUCCCUGCGUGCUGCCAUGUGUAUGCACACCGCUACUCUAGUUUAGUUUGCAGUCCAGCAGCAUCCUCUGGGUGUCGAUUCCGCAACCCUUCCCUCUCCUGUCCUCUCCUCACAGUAUCCUCGCACACCCCUCCUCCCUGACACCUCCCUCCCUGCCUCCCCUCACCACCGCCACUGCCACGCCUGCAGCCCGGCCUGAACUCGGACGUGAGCCGACCCCGCGGCCUGGCCGUGUUCCGCCGCGGCAAGCUGCCCAUGCGGCCGGGCAUGGGGCCAGACGAGUUCCUGCAGGUGGGGCGGGGCCGGUUGGGGAGGGGUGGGGGUCGUGUGGGGUGGGGGAGGGGGGAAAGAGGUGUGUACGCGUGUGUGGGUGUGGGAGAAUGGUGUGUGCGUGAGGGCCGCGCGGGCGUCAAGGCUUGUGUGGUGUGUGUUCGAUCAAUGGUGUCCGUGCCCGUAGCGUCGUCGCUGUGUACAAGUACGCAGCUAACUUUUGCGCGUCUGUGUCAAGUAUGACCUUCUUCAUAACGCUACCUGUAAUACCAGAAGCCAACCUAAUGUUGGCAUCAAUUGGGCACUCCAGCAUAACGUGCUUUCAUCUUCUACACUGCACCGGCAUAGCCUGCAAACCCUUCCGCUGCGUGGGCGGUAUUGACCCCCCGCCACGGGGCGAUUCACCUCGACUUCCCAGCAUCCUAGCCUAAACCGGAUCAGCGCAAUUAGGUGCUUGUGCGUAACGUACUCGUUCAUGUGGCUUAAUUUGCCCUGCUGGCCGUGUGAGUAGUGAGUCGUGGCUGCCCUGCAUUGCGCCGGGCACCCAGUGCCGUACUGCUGUGCUGCGGCCUUGCUCCACCCGGAGUGUGCACGUGCCCACCUCGUCCCAUGUGACCCCCCCCCCCGCGCUUCGUUUUGCAACCCGUUCCGCAUGUCCACCUCCAAGGUCCCGGUGCCCUACACUCCCAUUCGGUCCCGUGGGGGUGGCCCAACGGGGUGGCCUCGUCUCCACUCCCACCCCCAUCCCCAUCCCCAUCCCCACCCCACCCCACCCCACCCCACCCCCCAAAUAAUCAUGAAUGUAACCCCCACCCCACCCCACCUCCAACCACCUCACACCUCACACACAGGUGGUUGUGUACCAGUACGCGGCACAGCGGGCACUGGCGAGGACCGGAUACGGCUUCACAGACUGAGGAGCAAGAGUGAGGAACACUGCUGGGCCCGGCUGCGCCGGAUAGAGCGCGGAGGGCUACUGAGCGAAGGGUUGUAGGGAAUAAGCAAGGCGGGUGGAGCCGGGAUGGAGUAGGAGGACAGCGCAAGGAAAGACGUUAGGCGCGGCUGGCUAGAGCUUUGCGUGUCACGCGGGAGUGGGAUUUGCCGAAGGGGUGCUGCCCUGCUUGAGAGUACACCUACUAUCAGAGCCUGGCAGCUUGUACUUGGACGUGCGAAGGGGCGGGGCGGACAAGGCACGCAGGUAUAAAGAAGGCGAAGGUAAGAGGCUGCGAGGGGUAGCGUGUCGGAGUCCGAACCGGGCUACAUCGGACGCGCCCAAUGCAGG
rnacentral:lncRNA from 1 species